AUUCAAUACGGCGAUGGAGUUCGCCAUUAACCGUCCCUAGAGACUAAUGACUCCUACCAGCGG
rnacentral:ncRNA from 2 species